CCUGAGAAACCCAAAAGAUCGAAUGGGGAGAUUCAUCGUCAGCUCAUUUUGUAUAUGUAUAAGUUACGAUGCGGGUUACUACUUGUAGUAUUGCCUGCACGUUCUUAUAUAUUUAGUUGCAAGAUGUUGUCGGCGUGCACUUCUCCCCUAGUAGGACGUCGCGACCCGUUGGGUGUCGGUUUACGGCCCAAGUGAUAGCCUUUAAUGUAAUUUAAAAAACAUUGAAGAUCCUUGGUGUUUUCUAACCGGCUAUUUGGCGGUACUCGUACGGUAUUUAGCCGCAUAUUUAUAUGCGUCCAUGCCCGUCGCAAGCGAGGCCAAUUACUGAUAGUACGGACCUAGUGCCGUCGUUGGUAUUGGCCAGCUGUUGGUUGUACGGUGUUCUAGGACUGGCUAAAAUUAAUUUCCCGGUCGGCGAUGCUACUGCUUUGGGUACUUUCAG
rnacentral:rRNA from 1 species